UACGUAGGCAGCAAGCGUUGUUCGGAGUUACUGGGCGUAAAGGGUGUGUAGGCGGUUGUUUAAGUUUGGUGUGAAAUCUCCCGGCUCAACUGGGAGGGUGCGCCGAAUACUGAAUGACUUGGAGUGCGGGAGAGGAGAGUGGAAUUCCUGGUGUAGCGGUGAAAUGCGUAGAUAUCAGGAGGAACACCGGUGGUGUAGACGGCUCUCUGGACCGUAACUGACGCUGAGACACGAAAGCGUGGGUAGCAAACAGG
rnacentral:rRNA from 1 species